rnacentral:rRNA from 2 species
UAGGGAAUCUUCCACAAUGGACGCAAGUCUGAUGGAGCAACGCCGCGUGAGUGAAGAAGGUUUUCGGAUCGUAAAGCUCUGUUGUUGGUGAAGAAGGAUAGAGGCAGUAACUGGUCUUUAUUUGACGGUAAUCAACCAGAAAGUCACGGCUAACUACGUGCCAGCAGCCGCAGUAAUACGUAGGUGGCAAGCGUUGUCCGGAUUUAUUGGGCGUAAAGCGAGCGCAGGCGGAAUGAUAAGUCUGAUGUGAAAGCCCACGGCUCAACCGUGGAACUGCAUCGGAAACUGUCAUUCUUGAGUGCAGAAGAGGAGAGUGGAAUUCCAUGUGUAGCGGUGGAAUGCGUAGAUAUAUGGAAGAACACCAGUGGCGAAGGCGGCUCUCUGGUCUGCAACUGACGCUGAGGCUCGAAAGCAUGGGUAGCGAACAGG